GACGAACGCUGGCGGCGUGCCUAAUACAUGCAAGUCGAACGAACUCUGGUAUUGAUUGGUGCUUGCAUCAUGAUUUACAUUUGAGUGAGUGGCGAACUGGUGAGUAACACGUGGGAAACCUGCCCAGAAGCGGGGGAUAACACCUGGAAACAGAUGCUAAUACCGCAUAACAACUUGGACCGCAUGGUCCGAGCUUGAAAGAUGGCUUCGGCUAUCACUUUUGGAUGGUCCCGCGGCGUAUUAGCUAGAUGGUGGGGUAACGGCUCACCAUGGCAAUGAUACGUAGCCGACCUGAGAGGGUAAUCGGCCACAUUGGGACUGAGACACGGCCCAAACUCCUACGGGAGGCAGCAGUAGGGAAUCUUCCACAAUGGACGAAAGUCUGAUGGAGCAACGCCGCGUGAGUGAAGAAGGGUUUCGGCUCGUAAAACUCUGUUGUUAAAGAAGAACAUAUCUGAGAGUAACUGUUCAGGUAUUGACGGUAUUUAACCAGAAAGCCACGGCUAACUACGUGCCAGCAGCCGCGGUAAUACGUAGGUGGCAAGCGUUGUCCGGAUUUAUUGGGCGUAAAGCGAGCGCAGGCGGUUUUUUAAGUCUGAUGUGAAAGCCUUCGGCUCAACCGAAGAAGUGCAUCGGAAACUGGGAAACUUGAGUGCAGAAGAGGACAGUGGAACUCCAUGUGUAGCGGUGAAAUGCGUAGAUAUAUGGAAGAACACCAGUGGCGAAGGCGGCUGUCUGGUCUGUAACUGACGCUGAGGCUCGAAAGUAUGGGUAGCAAACAGGAUUAGAUACCCUGGUAGUCCAUACCGUAAACGAUGAAUGCUAAGUGUUGGAGGGUUUCCGCCCUUCAGUGCUGCAGCUAACGCAUUAAGCAUUCCGCCUGGGGAGUACGGCCGCAAGGCCGAAACUCAAAGGAAUUGACGGGGGCCCGCACAAGCGGUGGAGCAUGUGGUUUAAUUCGAAGCUACGCGAAGAACCUUACCAGGUCUUGACAUACUAUGCAAAUCUAAGAGAUUAGACGUUCCCUUCGGGGACAUGGAUACAGGUGGUGCAUGGUUGUCGUCAGCUCGUGUCGUGAGAUGUUGGGUUAAGUCCCGCAACGAGCGCAACCCUUAUUAUCAGUUGCCAGCAUUAAGUUGGGCACUCUGGUGAGACUGCCGGUGACAAACCGGAGGAAGGUGGGGAUGACGUCAAAUCAUCAUGCCCCUUAUGACCUGGGCUACACACGUGCUACAAUGGAUGGUACAACGAGUUGCGAACUCGCGAGAGUAAGCUAAUCUCUUAAAGCCAUUCUCAGUUCGGAUUGUAGGCUGCAACUCGCCUACAUGAAGUCGGAAUCGCUAGUAAUCGCGGAUCAGCAUGCCGCGGUGAAUACGUUCCCGGGCCUUGUACACACCGCCCGUCACACCAUGAGAGUUUGUAACACCCAAAGUCGGUGGGGUAACCUUUUAGGAACCAGCCGCCUAAGGUGGGACAGAUGAUUAGGGUG
rnacentral:rRNA from 1 species